AUUACUGAAAUAACAAAAACAAAUUUUCUAUAUAAAUGUUGAAUCAUACAACUCUGACACUAUUGCUUCAUUUGCUUAAUAAUGAAAAUAUAUACGCAGUAAUAAUAAACGUAUAGGAUAAGGAAAUAUUUCUUGGAAAAAUUCUGAAGCUCUUGCAAAUGAAAAAUUUACUAUUAUUAGAAGUAAAGUUCUAAAGGAUCAAACCUAGAAAACAAAGUAUAUUUUACUAUAACGCUUAAUUAUUAAUUCAAUAUGUUUAUUUUUAGAUACAAAGGAAGUGGACACGGACGAAUGAAACAAAGAUGGCGCAAGUGGCUUUUUUAAGAGAAGAAAAAAAAAGAAAAAAAGAAGUGAUCUAAUUGCAAAUAGUUGCGUACUCCAGCGUUCAUCCCCACCCCCGUUUGCUUGCUCACCGAAAGCUAGCGUUUCUGUACGGUUUGUUGCGUAACGGUGCAGAGUCAUGCGAUAGGAUAGGAUGUGUCGUGGGGGUAGAGGGGUAAAAGAGGCAAGAGAGGAGGAAGAUCGGGGCAUAUAGACGAUACCCAUGUCGGAAGGGGACCCAAGAGAGAACCGAGACACGCACCAGAAAAGAGAAAGAGAGAUAGAACAUUCUUCUAAUCGUCGUUAUGCCACCACACCAUUACAGACCUAUCGGAAAGCUUUUCUUCCUCCAUUCUGCCCUUGGAUGUUCAACACGUAACUCGUCGACCUUGUAGUCUCUGAGAAACAAAAGAAUCCCAUUAACUUAUUACAUAUAUUAUGUUGUUUUUAUCUACGAGUUGCUGCAUACAUACUUACGUUAAUGAACAAGUG